UGCAGUCGAACGAGACCUUCGGGUCUAGUGGCGCACGGGUGAGUAACGCGUGGAAACCUACCAUUCUGUACGGAAUAACGAUUGGAAACGAUCGCUAAUACCGUAUACGCCCUGUGGGGGAAAGGUCCGCCGCAGAAUGAGGGGUCCGCGUCCGAUUAGCUUGUUGGUGGGGUAAAAGCCUACCAAGGCGAUGAUCGGUAGCUGGUCUGAGAGGAUGAUCAGCCACACUGGGACUGAGACACGGCCCAGACUCCUACGGGAGGCAGCAGUGGGGAUAUUGGACAAUGGGGGCAACCCUGAUCCAGCAAUGCCGCGUGUGUGAAGAAGGCCUUAAGGUUGUAAAAGCACUUUUCAGUGGUAAAGAUGAAUGACGGUAGCCCGUAAAAAGAAGCCCCGGGCUUAACUUCCGUGCCAAGCAGCCCGGCGGGUAAAUAACAAGGGGGGCGAGCGUGUGUUCGGAAUAUAACUGGGCGUAAAGGGCGGCGCAGGGCGGCCAAUCUCAGUCAGGUUGGAAAGCCCCGGGCUUAACCUGGGAACUGCACUUGAUACUGAUUGGCUAGAAAACGGAAGAGGGCAGUGGAAUUCCCCGUGUAGAGGUGAAAUUCGUAGAUAUUGGGAAGAAAAACCAGUGGCGAAAGCGGCUGCGUGGUCCGAUUUUUGACGCUGAGGCGCGAAAGCGUGGGUAGC
rnacentral:rRNA from 1 species